UACGUAGGGUGCAAGCGUUUGUCCGGAAUUAUUGGGCGUAAAGAGCUUGUAGGCGGUUUGUCGCGUCUGCUGUGAAAUUUCGGGGCUCAACCCCGAACUUGCAGUGGGUACGGGCAGACUAGAGUGUGGUAGGGGAGACUGGAAUUCCUGGUGUAGCGGUGGAAUGCGCAGAUAUUCGCAAGAACACCAGUGGCGAAGGCGGCUCACUGGCCCGGUACUGACGCUGAGGUGCGAAA
rnacentral:rRNA from 1 species